GGUUCCAUGGUGUAAUGGUUAGCACUCUGGACUUGGAAUCCAGCACUCUGGACUUUGAAUCCAGCAAUCUGAGUUCAAAUCUUGGUGGAACCU